UACGUAGGGGGCAAGCGUUGUCCGGAUUUAUUGGGCGUAAAGAGCGUGUAGGCGGUUUGGUAGGUCCGCUGUGAAAACUCGAGCUCAACCUCGAGACGCCGGUGGAAACCAUCAGACUAGAGUCCGGAAGAGGAGAGUGGAAUUCCGUGGAUGUAGCGGUGAAAUGACGCAGAUAUCGGGAAGAACACCCGUGGCGAAGGCGGCUCUCUGGGACGGUACUGACGCUGAGACGCGAAAGCGUGGGGAGCGAACAGG
rnacentral:rRNA from 1 species